rnacentral:rRNA from 1 species
AGUGAACGCUGGCGGCAGGCCUAAUACAUGCAAGUCGAACGGCAGCACAGCAGAGCUUGCUCUGUGGGUGGCGAGUGGCGGACGGGUGAGGAAUACGUGGGAAUCUGCCCAGUCGUGGGGAUAACGUAGGGAAACUUACGCUAAUACCGCAUGCGCCCUUCGGGGAAAGCCGGGGACCUUCGGCCUGGCGCGAUUGGAUGAGCCCACGUCGGAUUAGCUAGUUGGCGGGGUAAAGGCCCACCAAGGCGACGAUCCGUAGCUGGUCUGAGAGGAUGAUCAGCCACACUGGAACUGAGACACGGUCCAGACUCCUACGGGAGGCAGCAGUAGGGAAUAUUGGACAAUGGGCGCAAGCCUGAUCCAGCCAUGCCGCGUGAGUGAAGAAGGCCCUCGGGUUGUAAAGCUCUUUUGUCCGGAAAGAAAAGACGCCGGGUUAAUACCCUGGUGUCCUGACGGUACCGGAAGAAUAAGCACCGGCUAACUUCGUGCCAGCAGCCGCGGUAAU